UAUAAAAUAAGAAUAAAAAAAUAAAUUGAAUAAAAAUAAAAAAUUAAUAAAAUAUAAAAAAAUACAAAUAGGCAACUAUUCAUUACAGCAAAAAGCAUAAACUUAGUCAAUUUAUAAAAAGAACGAACUUUUGUACAUAUCAAAUAGGAAGAACCACAACAAAGUACACGUUAUAGCAAUUAUUAUUACAACAACAUUAAAAAUAUUGUAGUUAAAAAGUACAUAAAUGUAAAUUUCACAUCGAAAAUCGUAGAAAAACUCGAAAUGCUUUGUCCUCUGCCAACUGCUAAUACAUAAAUCACAUCAAGCAUGAAGAAUGUGAGAUAUUUUGAGCGAAUGCGAGCAGCCAACUGUAAUUAGAUAAGAAAAUACGCUCCCUCCGAGCACUGAACUACUAAUUAAGUUGAAUAGUUAUGUAAUGGAGUGUGAGUGAAUACAUAUAUACAUCGUAUUAAGAAAAAUGCAGGAGUUAAAGAGCAAAAAGUUAAGAGUGAAAAAGUCAAAUAGAGAGUAUACAGGGUGAGUCAUAAAAAAAAAUAAAGAAAAAAUAUUCAAAAUUCAGAUUUUUCUAAUAGUUGAUUGAAAAUAUGUGUAAAAAAUUUAUUUAUUUAUUUUUUUAAAAUUUAUUAAAAAAUGUUUAUAAGUGUUAAAAUUCUUAUUUAAUUUUAUUAGACACUUACUAAGAAUAUUCUACAAAUGCUUUCGAAAAGAUUUGUCUACAGCCAACUUUUUUAGCUGUGUGACCCUCUUCGAAAAAUUUCGAUGCAAAUUCGAAAAAUGCUGUUUCAGGAAAAGCGCGUCUAAAGUUAAGAUAUUGAACUGACCGCCUACAAAUUUAGAAGCCACGAACCCUAAAAAUUUAGACAUCGAUCUAAGAUUUUAGUUUAUUAUUUAGGAAGGCCUAGACUAUUUAUUGGCCCCAAUACACAUAUUUCAACGGUUUUUUCAACUCAAGAAACAGUUGUUAAAGUCAAUUUCCGGAAUAGACUUCAAUGCGCGUAGCGAUUAACGUUUAAUAUGCUCAGUCGUGCUUUCACUUUUCUUAGGCCCAAAUGAUUUCUCACAAUAGUUUUCAGUGAUCCAUCCGUUAUUCUUUUUGUGAACAGUAAUUCAAGGCGUGGUGAUUCUGCAGCAAAUAUUUUUACAACACACUCUCAGUUUUAGCGCUUGCUAAAAGGCCGGUGCCUUCGACUUACUUAAUAAAUCUGGAAGAAAAUAGAGGUGUGAAGAUCAUUGGAGUAUACUGUCGCCCCUAUUCUGCAGUCCAUUUUGGACGCGUCCGUAUACAUGGAGGUAGUAUCCUCUCCUACUAAACAUCUCAUUCAUUCAAGUCCAGAGGGUAGUCUCAUCCGAAAGUAACUAUUGAAGCUAAUCUUACUAGAAUAUAGCCUAAUUACUCAAGUUUAGCUGUUUCAGAAAUUGCUGCUGCAAAGCGAGUCAACUCCUCAUCCUCGUAUGAGCAUUUGGUGCAGGAGUAUACUAACUACCUCGUCGAAGCAGACUCGGUAACUCUUGCACAAACCAUUCUUUAUUUCAAUGCUAAUUUUCCAUUUCAAUUGGGAAUCGAUUUCAACCACAUUUGCAUUACUGCAUGGCGGCGUUCCAUAUUUCUCAUUAAAAGACUUGCACCUGUGUACCUGCGCUUUUUGCUGCAUAGCAAAAUUGCUGCGAAUUUCUGGAUAAUCCCUCAGUUUGCUUCACUCUCCAGCAUGACGUUGAUUAAAUUUUCCGCGUUUAUUGUGACAACCAGGUUUUCUAUGGUGGUGGGCUUUCGCUGCCAUCGCAGAAAUCCAAAGAAAGUGUGUACAGCGUCGUCUCUUGUCACGCCGUUGUAUAGACAUGACUGUUCCUCGACUUUUCUCUUUCUGUGGAGGUACUUUUCGAAGUAUCCGUGACUAGAUAACAGCCCAGCUUUGUAAAAGUCGACUUGUUAAUCUCGGUCCAGCUUUACGCCUAGGUAUUUCGAGGUGGAGUCGUUUUCUCACUUAUUUGUUAGCAUUAGUAACUCUGUUUCUUUCCGCAGCGAGCUGGAGGUUGUACGAGUCGAGCCAUGAUUGGGUCCGUAUCAUGGCCUGUUUAAGCUUUCUUCGCGCUUCUUCUGUGUCUCGUGCUGAGGUUACUGUUGCAAUGCCAGCUGCGUAGCCAAUUAAGUACGAUUCGUCUAGCAUUUCGAGUUUUAAUAUAGCGUCGUGGCUGAUUUUCCACAAGUCUGCGCCUAUAAUGGAUCUUUGUUCUGCUCCUGACGAGAUGGCUGUCUGUACCUGUCUGACAUUUCGAGUUUUGGUAUAGCGUCGUCGCUGAUGUAACACAAUUCUAGGCCUAGAAUGGAUUCUUGUGUGCUCCUGACGUAACCGUCUGUCCCUCUCUAGUUUGGUAUAGUUACAUAUAUACCACAUAUACCAUAUGGUUUUCUGUUACUAAAGUAGCUCCGCACAGCAGCUCUGGGGUAGAUGAGGAUUUUAAGGUUUUUUUUCGAAAACGUCGAUAAUUAACUAUCCUGUACAGCUUCUACACUUUCAAUGACGCAUUUUAUAGCUCCUAGAGUUGAUCUGCUGGGUCUAAAGCCGUGUUGUCUAGGGAAGAGUCAUCCAGCUUAGUUGAUAGCCGCUUCGAGUUUUGGUUUAAGUAGCUUUUUAGAGUGCUUUCCCGCUGUGUCAAGCAUGCAUAGUAUAAUAAUGAAUACUUAGUACUUUAAUACUUUGUUAUGAAUCUAUUUUGUGCUGUCUAAAAGUAUUCUUCACGGCACUUAGAAUUGUUUUACAGUACUCGUACUCUUUCAUAGUAAUUUAUUUAGUAUUUAAGACAAAUUUGAUUAAAUUUUACAGAACUAACUAAAGAAAACAUGAUUAGAAUUAUGAAAAUAGUUUCACGCCUGAAUGUAGGCAGUAAUAUUUUAUGUAGCAUACCUUUUGGCGCUUAUCUUUCAUAUACCAUAUAAGCAGCUCACCCUGUAUUCCUAUAAAAAAAAACUGUAUUUACACUACAACCUCUGCACAAUGUAAUUAAAGCAUAUAUUACUUAAUUAAUUUCGCAUAUUUUUCUCGCACAGCAAUUAAUUGAACAUAAAAAUGCACAGCUUAUGUACGUAUUGGGGGAUGUAAUGUAAAAGUAAUGCAUAAUAAAGUGUAGAAAAAAUAGGCGAAUAUCUACAAAUUCAUAAUUGAAUACCGCAAACCAAAUUAAGCGCAUAUGCAAAGCGGCAUAAAAUAAUUAACACAAACCGUUUAUGCUUGCCACAAGUAAAUAAAAGUAAACUACACAAUUAAAUUCACCGCUAAACGCUGCCGCAUGCAAUUUCAUUAAAAGGACACACGACUACACACAUACACUCACAUACAUGUGUAUGCUAAUGUGCAACUGUGAUUGUGUAUAACGUAAAUGUAUGUAUAAUACUGAAGUAUGUAAGCUUGUGCAUAGAAAAAUGUGGAUUUGCGGCAGUGGCGGCUUACUAAAAACCUGUUUGUGUGUGUGUGUGCAUGCUUGCACUUAUAGACAACAACCAAAUCAAAAGUAAAAAAACAUGCACAGGCAUUACUACGCACUCAUACAUAUGGACACAUGUGCAUAUAUACAUAUGUAUAUGUAACGGUACUUUUGUACAGCAAACAAACGUUCACCUGCGCGUAGCUGAAUGCCCCUUGAGCCAAUUAUUGUAUUUAUUGUAAUUACAACUAUACUAACUAAGAAAAAACAGCAACAAAAAAUAUGCGGUAAAUAUGAAAUAAGUAUACAGCCAUAAAAAUAGUACUACUAGUAUGUAUAAAAGAAUACAAAAAUUAACAAAAACAAAAACGAUGGAAAGUCGCAUGGAAAAAAUUGCAUUUAGAUAUAUUGAAUUUGCAAAAACAAAAUGUAAAAAUUUUCUAACUAAAAAUUACAACAAAAAAAUUAAAAAAAAAAAAAAUUAAAAAAAAAAAAAUAU